rnacentral:lncRNA from 1 species
CUUCAGUGACAGCCAUGUGCUGCUUUCGUGAGUAUAAUUGGGCGGCGAGCCAUGCAGCUUCCUGGAUUACCCCAGACUCCAACUGUGCAAGAUGGUGGGAAAGCCUUCAACAGGAAUUACUCUGGAGAAGCUAGCAACCUUAGCAACUGCACAUCGUUCAAGAUCAGCUGUCCAGAAGGCUCUCUGUAGAACAGAAUAGCUAAAUACAUCCCCUGGCCUGCAGCUUUACCUCAUAAAAAAAGAUGAAAGGCACAAUCAUUGCUGCUUUUGCCACCUAAUAGAUAAAAAUAGCAUUGUAUCUGGAUUACAGGGAGAAAGAAAGCAUCUCCUGGGCAGGUGCCACCCACAAUCCUUAUUCCUCCCCAGGCUAUUCCAUUCUAAAGGAGAAAACUAAACAUUUCAAAAACCAAACACGGUCUCUUGAGCACAGAGGCCUCAAACAAUGUUCUCACUGAAGAUGUGUCACCUGAGAAAAGUUUAUUUCCAGGGUUGUGACAAUCCCUACUAAUAAGGAGCUUUGCAGGCAAGAACACGGUGCUGGUCAGAAAGUCCACGUUGCCUGAUGCUUGGCGCCUUCACUUGAGUUAACAACACCUCAGAUCAUCCGCUUGGCUUUUCAUGUUUGAAUUUCCCCCUAGAAACUGCUUCAGGCACAGAGGGAGAGCUGUGAUCGUUUUUAUUUUGUUUCAUGUCCAACUGUUCCGUAAUCCAGCUAUGAAAGAAUUGUCAGCUUUAGUGGAAUCCUUUUCCAAGCUUUUCAUAGUCAUGGUGAAAGACAUCCAUUCUGUUGGUUUUUCUGUUCCACUGAUCAGUUUUCUUCUAUUGUUAUUGCAUUUGUUUACCUGGGCUGCUGUAAAACAAAAUAUCAGAGACUGGGUGGCUUAAACAACAGGAACUUAUUAUCUUGCAGUCCUGGAGGCUGGAAGUCCGAGAACAAUGCGUGGGCAGGGUUGGUUUCUCCUAAAGUCUCUCUCCUUGGGUUACAGAUGACCAUCUCCCAG